AUGGAGAUGAAGAAGAUUGCCUGCGCCGUCCUCAUCGCCGCAUCGGCGACCGUUGCCCUCGCCGCCGAUGGUCCGGCCCUUGCCCCGGCGGCAUCCGCAGCAACCGGCGCCUUCCCGGCCGUCGGCGCAGUGCUCGGCGCCUCCGUACUCUCCUUCUUUGCUUACUACAUGCAGUAA
rnacentral:rRNA from 1 species